UACGGGGGGGCAAGGCGUUGUUCGGAAUUACUGGGCGUAAAGGGCUCGUAGGUGGCCAACUAAGUCAGACGUGAAAUCCCUCGGCUUAACCGGGGAACGUGCGUCUCGAUACUGGAUGGCUUGAGUUUGGGAGAGGGACGCGGAAUUCCAGGUGUAGCGGUGAAAUGCGUAGAGUAUCUGGAGGAACACCGGUGGCGAAG
rnacentral:rRNA from 1 species